rnacentral:rRNA from 1 species
GAUGAACGCUGGCGGCGUGCCUAACACAUGCAAGUCGAACGGAGUUGUUAUUAGGAAGUUUUCGGAUGGAAUAAUAAUAACUUAGUGGCGGACGGGUGAGUAACGCGUGGGUAACCUGCCUCAUACAGGGGGAUAACAGUUGGACACGGCUGCUAAAACCGCAUGACAUUGCGAUGUCGCAUGACAAUGCAAUGAAAUAUUUAUAGGUAUGAGAUGGGCCCGCGUCUGAUUAGCUAGUUGGUGAGGUAAUGGCCCACCAAGGCGACGAUCAGUAGCCGGCUUGAGAGAGUGACCGGCCACAUUGGGACUGAGACACGGCCCAAACUCCUACGGGAGGCAGCAGUGGGGAAUAUUGCACAAUGGGGGAAACCCUGAUGCAGCGACGCCGCGUGAGUGAAGAAGUAUUUCGGUAUGUAAAGCUCUAUCAGCAGGGAAGAAAAUGACGGUACCUGACUAAGAAGCCCCGGCUAACUACGUGCCAGCAGCCGCCGUAA